AUGAUUAACUUCACUCCUUGGUUAUCUGUUUGUCAUUAUUAUCUUUGCUUCAAAUUUCAAAUUCUACUUUCUCUCUCGUCCUUUCUCCCAUUCUGUCUCUUUUCUCUCUCAUUUUCUCUCUUUCUCUAUCAUCUUUUUUGUUUCUCAUCUUUCAUCUUCUUUCUCUUACAUCGCAAUUCCACAUUUCCAGAUUCAGGUUUAUCAAUCAACAAUGGCGGUGAUAGCUUAGCUGUAGAAGCAGAAAACGAUGACAAAAGGGAUGUCACGAGGCUCGUCAUGCUUUCUACUCGUGCCUUGAAAAGGGAUGUCACAAGAAACCAACCGAGAUUGCGUCCAUAG